CGUAGUUCGGACUGGAGUCUGNAACCCGACUCCACGAAGUUGGAUUCGCUAGUAAUCGCGCAUCAGCCAUGGCGCGGUGAAUACGUUCCCGGGCCUUGUACACACCGCCCGUCAAGCCAUGGAAGCCGGGAGUACCUGAAGAUCGUGACCGCGAGGAACGGGCUAGGGUAAUACCGGUAACUGGGGCUAAGUCGUAACAAGGUAGC
rnacentral:rRNA from 1 species